GACGAACGCUGGCGGCGUGCUUAACACAUGCAAGUCGAUCGGUGAUCUUGAGAGCUUGCUCUUGGGUGAUCAGUGGCGAACGGGUGAGUAACACGUGAGUAACCUGCCCCUGACUCUGGAAUAACUUCGGGAAACCGAAGCUAAUACCGGAUAUGACACAGAGCCGCAUGGUUUCUGUGUGGAAAGUUUUUCGGUUGGGGAUGGACUCGCGGCCUAUCAGCUUGUUGGUGAGGUAAUGGCUCACCAAGGCGACGACGGGUAGCCGGCCUGAGAGGGCGACCGGCCACACUGGGACGGAGACACGGCCCAGACGCCUACGGGAGGCAGCAGUGGGGAAGAUUGCACAAUGGGCGAAAGCCUGAUGCAGCGACGCCGCGUGAGGGAUGAAGGCCUUCGGGUUGUAAACCUCUUUCAGUAGGGAAGAAGCGCAAGUGACGGUACCUACAGAAGAAGCACCGGCUAACUACGUGCCAGCCGCCGCAGUAAAAC
rnacentral:rRNA from 1 species